rnacentral:rRNA from 1 species
AGAGUUUGAUCCUGGCUCAGAUUGAACGCUGGCGGCAGGCCUAACACAUGCAAGUCGAGCGGAUGACGGGAGCUUGCUCCUUGAUUCAGCGGCGGACGGGUGAGUAAUGCCUAGGAAUCUGCCUGGUAGUGGGGGACAACGUUUCGAAAGGAACGCUAAUACCGCAUACGUCCUACGGGAGAAGGCAGGGGACCUUCGGGCCUUGCGCUAUCAGAUGAGCCUAGGUCGGAUUAGCUAGUUGGUGGGGUAAUGGCUCACCAAGGCGACGAUCCGUAACUGGUCUGAGAGGAUGAUCAGUCACACUGGAACUGAGACACGGUCCAGACUCCUACGGGAGGCAGCAGUGGGGAAUAUUGGACAAUGGGCGAAAGCCUGAUCCAGCCAUGCCGCGUGUGUGAAGAAGGUCUUCGGAUUGUAAAGCACUUUAAGUUGGGAGGAAGGGCAGUAAGCUAAUACCUUGCUGUUUUGACGUUACCGACAGAAUAAGCACCGGCUAACUCUGUGCCAGCAGCCGCGGUAAUACAGAGGGUGCAAGCGUUAAUCGGAAUUACUGGGCGUAAAGCGCGCGUAGGUGGUUUGUUAAGUUGGAUGUGAAAGCCCCGGGCUCAACCUGGGAACUGCAUCCAAAACUGGCAAGCUAGAGUACGGUAGAGGGUGGUGGAAUUUCCUGUGUAGCGGUGAAAUGCGUAGAUAUAGGAAGGAACACCAGUGGCGAAGGCGACCACCUGGACUGAUACUGACACUGAG